rnacentral:rRNA from 1 species
GGGCCAGACUCCUACGGGAGGCAGCAGUGGGGGAUAUUGGACAAUGGGGGAAACCCUGAUCCAGCGACGCCGCGUGAGUGAAGAAGUAUUUCGGUAUGUAAAGCUCUGUCAGCAGGGAAGAAAGAAAUGACGGUACCUGACCAAGAAGCCCCGGCUAACUACGUGCCAGCAGCCGCGGUAAUACGUAGGGGGCAAGCGUUAUCCGGAAUUACUGGGUGUAAAGGGAGCGUAGACGGUGAUGCAAGUCUGGAGUGAAAGGCGGGGGCCCAACCCCCGGACUGCUCUGGAAACUGUGUAACUUGAGUGCAGGAGAGGUAAGCGGAAUUCCUAGUGUAGCGGUGAAAUGCGUAGAUAUUGGGUAGAACACCAGUGGCGAAGGCGACUAUCUGGCUGUACAUUGACGCUGAGGCUCGAAAGCAUGGGGAUCAAACAGGAUUAGAUACCCUCGUACG